rnacentral:lncRNA from 1 species
UGAAUGAUAGAAUAAAGAGAUACUGACUUCCCUGGAGCCUCCAAACUUGAGUAGUCAGGCAUUGGGAUCCGUGGAAGGCUUGUUAAAUCCAAAUAGAUUGGUCCUACUCCAUCCGCAGAGUUGCUGACGAGGUGCGUCCAGGCCUUCUCCUCACCUCUCAGGGAGAUAUACCAUGCAGUGCCUUCAGUUAUGGUGUUGUGACUGAGGAUGCUUCGGUCAGACAUGUCCCUGAAAACCUGCAUAGAGCUGCACUUCAAGGGAAGUUAUUGAAUAUGUCCUAUCCAACUAAAACAAGGAAAUGAUGAAAAAAAUAAAAUCACUUUCCAGAGGCCUCAGGGCUAACUGGAGACAGAGCUCAGACUGCAGCUGAGAAAAGUUGGACUCCAAAACCUGUACUCUGAGCUUUACUGCAUGAGAAAGUUAUUGAAAUGUGCCUUGUGACAUUCAGAAUAAGUGACUUUUCAGAGGUCUCAGAGUCAGUAAGAGACAGAACUCAGAUUGUAACCAAGAAGAACUGAACUCCAAACUUCUGUGUCCGGAAUUGGUGGGUUCUUGGUCUCACUGACUUCAAGAAUGAAGCCGCAGACCCUCGCGGGCCAGGUCUGCUCAGCAACUCAGUAUGUUGACUUUAUUUCCUGAGAGAGAAACAGAGAGAAGAAAAGAAAGAGGAGGA